GAGCGGAUGACGGGAGCUUGCUCCUUGAUUCAGCGGCGGACGGGUGAGUAAUGCCUAGGAAUCUGCCUGGUAGUGGGGGACAACGUUUCGAAAGGAACGCUAAUACCGCAUACGUCCUACGGGAGAAAGCAGGGGACCUUCGGGCCUUGCGCUAUCAGAUGAGCCUAGGUCGGAUUAGCUAGUUGGUGGGGUAAUGGCUCACCAAGGCGACGAUCCGUAACUGGUCUGAGUGGAUGAUCAGUCACACUGGAACUGAGACACGGUCCAGACUCCUACGGGAGGCAGCAGUGGGGAAUAUUGGACAAUGGGCGAAAGCCUGAUCCAGCCAUGCCGCGUGUGUGAAGAAGGUCUUCGGAUUGUAAAGCACUUUAACUUGGGAGGAAGGGCAGUAAGCUAAUACCUUGCUGUUUUGACGUUACCGACAGAAUAGGCACCGGCUAACUCUGUG
rnacentral:rRNA from 1 species